rfam:Nicotiana attenuata strain TT chromosome 8, whole genome shotgun sequence.
UGGACAGAUUUAUUGUACUCGACUGGAUUCGACUGUAUGUUGCACGGGCGUGAAAUAGGGGAUUAAACUGUUUUUAAAACGGAAAGUGAAUCAAUUAACAUAAUAGACUCCU